AAAUAUCUCCCAUGAUAAGUCAUUGUCCAUCUGUUUGCUUCCUCCUGAGCUCGUGCUGCAAGCUGCAGGGAGGCUCAGUGUGUUUCAUGGGGAGCGUGCAGGUUAGGCUGGUCAGAUUUGGGAGCAAACAGCCGUGUCUCUGCUUCCUUUGUUUAAAAAACAAACGAGUGUGAAGGCGGUGCUCUGCAGCUCUUAGUGCUGGAGGCGGUACUGAAGGGUUGAGCCUCUCAUCCUGUACCUGCACGCAGACUAGUUAUUGUUGGGCAAAGGGGCAAUUGUGCUCGUCUUGUAACUGUGACCAGCAGAGCGCUGGGUCUCGAGGAGGGAGUCCCCUCUGCUGGGCUAAUUUCUCGUUCUUUGUGCCCAGGUGGAGAAUAUGUUACAUGGUUCAUCUGGAGGAAAAUUUUAUGUCUUGAAUUAUGUCUUGAAAUCUCCAUCACUAAAAAUGGGAAGCAUAUAAAUGCUGGAACUGCAAAAGGUAAUGAAGAAACUGGUUGCAGGAACCAGAUCAGAGGAAUUCAUCAGAGCCAAGGCUAAGGGAAGGAAGAACUUUGGAAAUGUUCUGGACAUGAAGGUAUACCUACUCAUGAAAGCAUCAUUAUCCAAAGGGCUGAUAUAACACAGCGUUGGGAAUCUCUGCAUUUUCUUUUCCUCCAUGUAUGGAUUCCUGACAUUCUGCUCUGAUUAAGAUACAAGUCCAUGGAAGUUGAUGGUUGCUGAAAAUGGAAUUGCACACAGGGACUAUUCCUUUUUCCCUGUGGGAUGGGUGCUGGCCUGGAGCAGAUGGGUGACCAGGGACAGGCUGGAUAGGACCGUGGUUCCCAGCAGGACCAUGUCCUUGGGGUCACCUCCCCCAGACUCUGCAUGGACUUGCUUUUCCAGCCCUGACAGGAAAGGAUUCCCAAGUGAG
rnacentral:lncRNA from 1 species